GACGUAGGGCGCGAGCGUUGUCCGGAUUUAUUGGGCGUAAAGAGCUCGUAGGCGGCUUGUCGCGUCGACUGUGAAAACCCGCGGCUCAACCGUGUGGUCUGCAGUCGAUACGGGCAGGCUAGAGUUCGGUAGGGGAGACUGGAAUUCCCGGUGUAGCGGUGAAAUGCGCAGAUAUCGGGAAGAACACCCGUGGCGAAGGCGGCUCUCUGGGACGGUACUGACGCUGAGACGCGAAAGCGUGGGGAGCGAACAGG
rnacentral:rRNA from 1 species